AUUGAACGCUGGCGGCAGGCCUAACACAUGCAAGUCGAGCGGAUGAGAGGAGCUUGCUUCUCGAUUCAGCGGCGGACGGGUGAGUAAUGCCUAGGAAUCUGCCUGGUAGUGGGGGACAACGUUUCGAAAGGAACGCUAAUACCGCAUACGUCCUACGGGAGAAAGCAGGGGACCUUCGGGCCUUGCGCUAUCAGAUGAGCCUAGGUCGGAUUAGCUAGUUGGUGAGGUAAUGGCUCACCAAGGCGACGAUCCGUAACUGGUCUGAGAGGAUGAUCAGUCAAACUGGUACUGAGACACGGUCCAGACUCCUACGGGAGGCAGCAGUGGGGAAUAUUGGACAAUGGGCGAAAGCCUGAUCCAGCCAUGCCGCGUGUGUGAAGAAGGUCUUCGGAUUGUAAAGCACUUUAAGUUGGGAGGAAGGGUUGUAGAUUAAUACUCUGCAAUUUUGACGUUACCGACAGAAUAAGCACCGGCUAACUCUGUGCCAGCCGCCGCCGUAAGAC
rnacentral:rRNA from 1 species